GAUGAAGAACGUAGCGAAAUGCGAUAAGUAAUGUGAAUUGCAGAAUUCAGUGAAUCAUCGAAUCUUUGAACGCACCUUGCGCCCUUUGGACAUUCCGAAGGGCAUGCCUGUUUGAGUAUCAUGAACACCUCAACUCUCACGGCUUGUCCGUGAUGAGCUUGGACUUUGGGGGUCUUGCCGGCCUGUGGUCGGCUCCUCUCAAAUGGAUCAGCUUGCCAGUGUUUGGUGGCAUCACAGGUGUGAUAACUAUCUGCGCUUGUGGUUUUCCAUCAGAUAACCUUCAGUGAUAUGGAGGUUCGCUGGAGCUCACAAAUGUCUCUCCUUAGUGAGGACAGCUCUUUGAACGUUUGAUCUCAAAUCAGGUAGGACUACCCGCUGAACUUAAGCAUAUCAAUAAGCGAGGA
rnacentral:misc_RNA from 1 species